AUGCCACUGUGCACUCCUUUAUACAACUAAUAAUUACUUAAAAAAAUCUCCCAACACGCAAGCGUGACGCCAUCAAAAUCCCUCACCUUGCGCUCCUGUUUUCCGAUAGACUGAAACACCGUUUCCCACGGACACCUGUCUCUAUCUCCCACCAGGCCAUCAUCAUGCUAUUAUUUCUGCAGAGGGGUUUCUUAUUUUGGGGAUUAGUUUGGUUGGGUGAAGCUUAAAUUUGAUUUUAAAUUUAAUGUGUUUGUGUUCUCCGUCACAUAUUCUCUUUCUGUCUGUCUGCAAGCUUGUGUGCAUUAUUUUCCCCCAACUUCCUUCCUUACCCGUAGGAAAUGGCGAUUGUGGGUUUGAGUAAAAGUUAUUGACUAGGGUGUGGAGUAAGUAUAUUUGUUCGUGGGUUAAUUUCAAAGAUGCAAUCUGGUGGUGGGCAGUAUGGGGUUCCAGGGAUCCAGCAGUUUAUGGAGGGUUGUUCUUCCCAUGGCUUAUUUGCAGCCCUUGCUGCUUCUUCUUCUCAUGACACUCUUACUACCAAUACUCACCACCAUCUCCAAUCCCAACCUCCACAACAUCAUAAUAUCAAUCAACAGCACCACUUACAACAGCAACAACAAAAUCAGAGCUUUCCAAAUCAGAGAUUGCUGCUGCAGCAGCAGCAGCAACAGCUUGGACUGCAGGCAGCAGUUGUAGAAGCAGAAGACAAGUCUCGAACCCGCGACCUCAGUGGCCUUAGUGAUAAAGCCAAUAAGGUUUUUGGGUUCCGGGAAACUGGAGGAACAAGCACUAGUAGUAAUGUUCAAGGUGUGGGGGAUCAAGUAGUAACUCCUCUUGUGGUUCUGCAACAGCAACAGCAACAGCUUACAGAUGACGAUGGUGAUGGUGAAAGAGGUGGUGGAGGUAUUAAUAGAUGGCCCAUGGAGGAGACUCUGGCUCUCUUGAAGAUCCGUUCUCAGAUGGACUCCAACUUCAGGGACUCCAAUCUUAAAGGACCACUUUGGGAGAAUGUCUCACGGAAGCUUGCAGAGCUGGGGUAUCACAGAAGUUCUAAGAAAUGCAAGGAGAAGUUUGAGAAUGUGAACAAAUAUCACAAGAAAACCAAGGACGGGAGAAUGGGGAGGCAAGAUGGUAAGAGUUAUAGGUUCUUCAAUGAGCUUGAAGCUCUUUCAAAUACAAUUAGACAUCACUUGGGCACCCAACAGACUGGAUUUAAUGAUGCCCAAGAAGGGGAUCGACUUCAUCAAUCUAUGGUCAUGGCGGCAGCUGCUGCAGAAACCAGCAAUGCAGCUCUAAAUGUGUCCUCAGACACCAACAACACCUCGGAGGAUGAUGAAUAUAAUGACAACAUCAUCAACAAUAAUAAUAAGAAUAAUGUUAUUAGUAACCCACCUCCCAGCAGGAUUAAGAAGAGAAAGAGGAAGCAGCAUUUUUCUUCCAUGGCCAUUUUCUUUGAGAGCUUGGUGAAGCAGCUGAUGGAGCGUCAGGAGGAGUUACACAGGAAGUUUCUGGAAGCCAUAGAGCGUAGAGAGCAAGAGAGAUUGAAUAGAGAAGAAGCUUGGAGGCGACAGGAAAUGGCCAGAUUAACCAGAGAAACUGAACUGCGUGCCCAAGAACAGGCCCUUGCAAAUACUCGUGAGGCUGCACUUAUUGCCUUUUUGCAGAAAAUCACAGGAGAAGACAUCAAACUGCCCAUGGCUUCUGAGGAUAUCCAAGAUGCAGCAGUACAGGAAGAACAGCAGGACAAGGAUGGGAUGUCUGAUCCUUGCAAUGGCAGGAGGUGGCCUAAGCCUGAAGUACAUGCAUUGAUAAGGCUAAGAAGUAGCAUGGAGGCAAAAUUCCAGGAGCCUGGAGUUAAAGGACCAUUGUGGGAGGAGAUUUCUUCUGGUAUGGCCUCCCUUGGAUUCCACAGAAGUUCCAAGAGAUGUAAGGAGAAGUGGGAGAAUAUCAACAAGUAUUUCAGGAAGACAAAAGAUAGCAUGAAGAAACGCCCUGAGAAUGCUAAAACAUGCCCUUAUUUUCACCAGCUGGACGCCCUCUAUGGCAAAGGCCUGCUCGCUUCUUCUUCUUCAGCAGCAGGCACCAGCAAGAGUAAAGGAGGACAUGGGCAUGGAUCUGAUGGUCUCAUGCAUGAGCAAGCUGCUGGUGAGGAUCAUGACACCAAUGAUAAGGAUAACAAUGAUGAGGAUGAGGAUGAAGGACAGGCACAAGCCAGAUCAGAUUCAGAACUUUUAGUUAUGAUUCCUGGAGAUAGCCAGGCUGGUGGUGUUAAUAAUGGACCUGAUCUAAUGAAAACCAAUGCAGAUCACUUCUUUCAAGAGGACCAUCCUUCUCAUCAAAGCCCAAAACGAUUCAAGAGCAAUAGUAAUCAAACACCCAUUUCAUUGGGUUCUAGCUUUGAACUAAGUGGGAGCUCCAAAUUGGAGUCCUCCUCUGAUAGCCAUAAAAAGGCAGCCAAGAUGGAAAGGCUUGUCAGGGAGAUGUUUGAGAUGCAACAGAAAAAAUUUCUUGAUGAUUUUGAGAGGAGAGAGAGGGAACAAGAUAGACAGCAAGGCAUGAACAAGCAUGAUCAAAACAGGCAACUUCAGCAGCAGCAGGGAGAUGUACAAGAUGAACGUUCACAGUCUGCAUUGAUGGCUUUGGUUCACAAGCUUACUGUUAAUGCUGCAGAUUAUGCUUCCCAAUGAUUGAAAGGAAGCGUCCCUUACUAGUACAUACAUUGAUCUAUAUAAUGUACCCAUAAUAUUAGGUGGAGAUUACUGUGGAGGUACAACUUCUAAUCAGUCAUAGCUACUGAGUUUUAAGCCUGGAUUUCAGAACCGAAAUGUUUGGACGUCCAUGGAAAGGUAAGUCUAUAAGUGAUUCUAUAUAUAUUUAUCAUUUCCUUGCUUGUGGAACAGCUGAACUAAUAUUGUAGAACAUCUGAUAACUUUAGAUGUACCAUAUAUCUUCGAUCACCUAGAAAUUUUCAAAAUUGAUUCUUCCAUAUAUAUACCAAAAUAUAUGAAACUCAA